UACGGAGGGUGCUAGCGUUGUUCGGAAUCACUGGGCGUAAAGGGCGCGUAGGCGGCCUGGCAAGUGGAAGGUGAAAUCCCUCGGCUUAACCGAGGAACUGCCCUCCAAACUGCUUGGCUUGAGUCCGGGAGAGGUGAGUGGAAUUCCCAGUGUAGCGGUGAAAUGCGUAGAUAUUGGGAGGAACACCAGUGGCGAAGGCGGCUCACUGGACCGGAACUGACGCUGAGGCGCGAAAGCGUGGGGAGCAAACGGG
rnacentral:rRNA from 1 species